rnacentral:rRNA from 1 species
GCGGUAAUACGUAUAAGACUAGUGUUAUUCAUAUUUAAUAGGUUUAAAGGGUAAAUAGGCGGUAAAUAAAGCCUUAAAUAAGAGGAACUAAUUUGCUAGAGUUAUAAAUGAGGAGGUUAAAAAGUACUGGUGGUGUAGAGAUGAAAUUCAUUAAUACCUUUUUUCGAAAGAAUUAGACACGGCACAGAUUAAGGCGUAAGCAUCUUUUUAUAUAGUAACUGACGUUGAGGAACGAAGGCUUCAUAAAACAAAAAGGAUUAGGUACCCUCGUAGUUGAUAGCAG